rnacentral:rRNA from 1 species
GUGAGGAAUUUUGCGCAAUGGGGGCAACCCUGACGCAGCAACGCCGCGUGAGUGAAGAAGGCCCUUGGGUCGUAAAACUCUGUCAAUGGGGAAGAAAUUACCUUGUAUUAAUAGUAUAUGGUAUUGACGGUACCCAUGAAGGAAGCACCGGCUAACUCCGUGCCAGCAGCCGCGGUAAUACGGGGGGUGCAAGCGUUAUUCGGAAUUAUUGGGCGUAAAGGGCACGCAGGCGGUCUUGCCAGUCAGAUGUGAAAGCCCGGGGCUCAACCCUGGAAGUGCAUUUGAAACUACAAGACUUGAGUACGGUAGAGGAAAGGGGAAUUCCUGGUGUAGAGGUGAAAUUCGUAGAUAUCAGGAGGAACACCGGUGGCGAAGGCGCCUUUCUGGACCGAAACUGACGCUGAGGUGCGAAGGCGUGGGUAGCGAACAGGAUUAGAUACCCGAGUAGUCC